rnacentral:lncRNA from 1 species
AGUUGGAGAGGACAGGAGAGGAGGGCGUGGCUUCUGGCGUUUGGCGGGUCUUUGUCUCUCGCUGGCGCUGGCACAGGAACUUGGGAUCCGUCUCCUCUUUCGCCUCCUCCGCUUUGGGAGCCCCGGGCUACUCUUUCACAGCCCCUGUUGCCCUGUGAUCUGUAGGUCCUUGGGGACGCACAGUUAAGAUGACAGGACAUCCUGGAAGCUGGGAAAUGGCUGAAUGCUAUCCCAGUGAAUAUACGUGCCCUGUUUGUUGAAUCUACUCAUCCUUAAAGAUAUGUAUUCAUUUCCUACCACCGUAGUGGAAGAGAUACUAUCCCUAUCUUUACAACUGAUAGCAUUUCCAACAGUAAGCUGUGAGAUUCUGCUUGAAAUCACCUCUCAAACAAAUAAAAAACAGACCUGGGAGACAUGCUACGCUCAUUCUGCUGAAGAAAUAGGGCAAGAAUAUUUUCUAAGACCCUGAACUCCAGAUAUGUGAUGGGGCAAAUCCUGAAGCGUACAUGGCUAUCUCUCACAGCUAAAGCAUCCCUCACCCCUAUCCAGCGCUUCUUACCCCUGGCGCAAGAGAAUCACCUGCGGGGAGGAAAACUUUCAAAAUCCCUUAAACCCAAGUUGUAACCGCACAACUAAAUCAGAAUCCUUGGAGCUGGAUCUGAAAAAAAUACGGUUGAAAGUUGUGCAGGUGAUUACAAUGUGUAGGCAAGCCAGAAAACCAUGGCUUUAACGAGCAGCUUUUGUUAGAAAUGAUUUCUCAAAUGAAUGUAAAAACGUUUGCUGCUGAAUUGUGACCUUUCAAUUUUACCUGCUUUUCCUGCAAAGUAUAUUUUGCAGACCCAGGCUGGCUUCUCCUUCUGUUCAUGGUUCACCCAGUGCCGUGUGUGCUCAGUGCAUCCUGUGCACGGGUCACUGUGCUGUGUGCGCUGGCCUGGGUGAGCAUCAUUCUUCGGGGAGAACCUUUCUGAAAACAAAGCUGCAAUCCAAAAAGUUAAAACCAUGCUACUUACUGUACUGAGGUAAAAAUUAAAAGACCUAGGGGACUCUUCCAAAAGUUAAAACGUAAAUAAAUAUCUUGGAACAUUAAUAUACACCUGACGAUGUCCUGAGAGAACACGCCCCACUUUAAAACAAAACAAAACAUUACUAUUAUUCUAAAAUAUUAAUUUAGGAUUGUUAUGCAAAUAUGUACUAUUUAAAUAUUUAUUGAUGAAUAACUUGCAUACAGCAAUAUAGGAACAAAAUAUUUAUGGAAUGCUUGAUGAAUUAUUACUAAAUAAAUACACUUGUGUAUGUAAGAAUCAGAUUUGCUCAUGCCCUUGACACUUUCUCCUUCCCAAAGGUAACCAAGACCUUAAGAGCUAAGUGUAGAUAAACUUUGUCAUUUUCUACACGUGUUUUAUUACAGAACAUUAAAAACGUAUACAUAAUACAAAAAAAAGAUAACAGACCAGUCACCCAGAUUUAACAGCUGCUAGUCAUGUGUCAUUUUUGUUUCACCUAUACUUCCAGCCAUUCCCACCCCAGUUUCAUUAUUUUUUAGCCUUUUUGGAUAAAAUGUAUAUUCAUUGCAAGGUACAAUGUGAACUGUGAAUAGUAGAGAGAUGGGGUUUCACCAUGUUGACCAUGCUAGUCUUGAACUCCUGUCCUCAGGUGAUCCACCUGCUUCGCCUUCCCAAAUUGCUGGGAUUACAGGCAUAAGCCAAUAUACUCAGCCUGAGAAUUCAUACUUCUAAGAAAGUACAAAUCCAUAGGGCACAUGAGAACUGCAAUGUCUAUCUACAGUAAAUACAGUUUGAUAAAUAAAAUGAAAGGCAAUUGACCUAAGGUGAAAAAAAAAACAAAAAACAAUCAAAGCAUGGGUACUAUGUGUCAUCUGUAGGAGCAUUUGGUUAAGAAUAACAAACAAACCAGUUUUAUUGUUUUAAUAGCCGAAAUUGGCAAAAUUUCUAGUUUUUCUUUCAUAGGAAUGCUCUUUGCAAGAAAAAAUUUUCAUAUAGUGAGAGCAAAAAUGGCAACCAUUUGCAAGUAAAUGUCUUAUGAAAUUAAGUAGCAGAUAUCAAGCUCAUGACCUUCAGAUAGUUACCCCUAACUCAAUCACUUACAUAGCAAGUGCAGAUAAUUUUCAUAGCUCCCUAUUAAAAUUAUAUUUGAAUGCCCUUACAAAUUGUGACUGUUUUUAAAUAAAGUUGACCAAAUAAAAUUUUGUAUAUGACAUAUGAUAAAUUCCCCUUCAAGUCACCUUACAUUUACUUAAUUUUAUUAGGCAGUGUCUGUCUACCACCCAAUAAUACUUGACGAUUCUCCCUCCAUUUGCACAGGCAUCAUAGCUGGGAAACGGAUUCACAAGACCCAGGCUGUUCCCUACAUAUGUUUCCUCCUCCGACAUCAGUUCAUCAGUCAAUCAAGCCAUGUGAGAGUGGAGGCCUUGUAUUCCCUAUUAUUCUUGGGCACUCUACUCCAAGUAGGAAAAGGCCAGGAGGUCCUGUUAAAGGAUGCACUCAGAGCCCGGGCUCCCUAACAUAUGAGAGUGCUAACCAGCAGGUGUAGACUUUUCAGGAGUGAAGAAUGAGGCAGGCAUUCCAAACCUGGACCUUCAUCACCUUUUGUUUCAUCUCAAGACAAUUCUGAGGGACUGUUUUGGAGCGUGUCUGGAAGGUGAACCUUGAAGAAGAGUGUGGGUUUUGAUGUGACUCAGUUGAGAUCUUUCAUGGGGAGGCAGGAAUUCAAUGCCCAGAAUCUGGGCUGGUGUCUUUGAGGUCAGUAGGUUGCGUCUUUGUAUCCAAGUCCAUUGUUACUAGGUUGGAGGCUGGAGAUUCUAAAUGGCUUCCAGACCAUCUCUCUGAUUCUCUUUGGGAGAUGGGGUCUGAAAGACAAUGUCAGUAGUUUUGGGAAAUUCUAGAAAGUGUGCUUGGAAACGUGGGAAGAGCUCUUGCCUAGUGCCUAAAUGCUCCAUUUGCAGCUCUAGCCAAGUAGAUACUUGGUAGGUAUAGAGCCGGGUUUGCGUUUAUAUUAGCAAAACCUAUGUCAGAGUUGAAGAAGUAGUCAGGAAAAAGCGUCUUGGUCGCAGGCCGGGGAACAUCUUAAAAGCAAACUUCUAGCCUGCUGACUCUUGGCAAUGAGUGUUGGAUCCUGGCUAAAGUGCCUUGAAUGCAGCAUGAGGCCAAUCCAUGAAUCCAACUUCUCAUGGAGAAAUGUUAAUAUUUUUUCAGUUUGAAUCAAUCAGGGUGAAACUACCAUGCUAUUGGUUUGCUUACUUUUUAUUAUUUCAUGUAAAAUCUAAGACAAAAUACAUUAAAUGCUUAUUGACAUAUGUAUUUAUUCUUCACCAGGCUGAUAAUAUCUGCCUAAUUUUAAACUUUCUUCCAUUUUGUAGGUUUCAACUUAUUCUAUUGUAAGAUACUGUUAAAUCUAAUAGAGGCAUUGUCACUUUUACGUAUAAUUUUAUUUUAUUUCAUAUAUUUCCUAUUGGUUUUUUACAUUUAAAUUAUGGAGCACUUCAUCAUAUAAAAAACUUCAAUUAUAUUUAAACAGUAAGUCUUUGGAUUUUUUUGCCUUUUAAUUUCCAUAUUACAUAAUAAUGAGAUAAACAUUAAUGUUUUCAGGGUACUUUAAAUUUUAGAUAAUUACUCAUUGUAUUCAUGUGAAAUUUGUUUUUACUGCAUGUGUGGGUUGGAGGACGGUUUUCACUUCUGAUUCAUCUUUACUCUUAUCUCAUCAGAGCUCAUACCUCUUGUAGUUGGGGGAUUGCAGUUUAUAAUUCCAAUAAAUGGGGCAAAUUCAAUAAUAACAUAAUACAAAUGAGUUUGAAUGCAGGACAGGUCUUCAAAGCAUACACAACAUGGGCCUACAUAUGUACAACAAUAAUAAUUUAUAAGUUACUGUUUGGAUGGAAAGUAAAAGUACAGAAAAUUUGUUAAAGGAAAUUAAAAUGGAGAUCAUGUCUCAAUAAUCUCUGAGCAGACAAAAUUAGUUAGGUCUCAUAAGUGAUCUCAACCUCGCUUGAUUUGCAAAUACAAACAAAACUUACAUUAUUUCUUGUAGCUGCAUAUUGAAAAAAGAGAAAUGAAGCUCAACCAGUCAGAAGUAGCCAACAACCUUAUAUAAAUAGAAACUGUCCAACAAGGUAAACAGACAAACAAAAAACAAUAAAAAAAGUUGUGCUACCACCAAAUGAUUUCUUUGUUUCUACAUUUUUCAAAUAAAUACUUGCUUCUUACACUGUCAAUGAAGCACUCAAUAUCUUUCCGUCUGAUAUUUUAUAAUUUAUCAAUUGCUCUUACUCAAAUAAACACUUUGCAAUUUCA